rnacentral:rRNA from 1 species
GGAGUCUGGGCCGUGUCUCAGUCCCAAUGUGGCCGUUCAACCUCUCAGUCCGGCUACCGAUCGUCGACUUGGUAGGCCGUUACCCCACCAACUAUCUAAUCGGACGCGAGCCCAUCUUUCAGCGCCUCAGCUUUGAUACAAAUGCCAUGCGACAUCUAUAUGUUAUGCGGUAUUAGCAGUCGUUUCCAACUGUUAUCCCCCUCUGAAAGGCAGGUUGCUCACGCGUUACUCACCCGUCCGCCACUAAGUCUUCCCUCUCUUCAUCCGAAGAAUCCGAUCGGGAGCUUCGUUCGACUUGCAUGUGUUAGGCACGCCGCCAGCGUUCGUCCUGAGCCACGGAUCAAACUACU